GACGUGCUAAUCUGCGAUAAGCGUCGGUAAGGUGAUAUGAACCGUUAUAACCGGCGAUUUCCGAAUGGGGAAACCCAGUGUGAUUCGUCACACUAUCAUUAACUGAAUCCAUAGGUUAAUGAGGCGAACCGGGGGAACUGAAACAUCUAAGUACCCCGAGGAAAAGAAAUCAACCGAGAUUCCCCCAGUAGCGGCGAGCGAACGGGGAGCAGCCCAGAGCCUGAAUCAGUGUGUGUGUUAGUGGAAGCGUCUGGAAAGGCGCGCGAUACAGGGUGACAGCCCCGUACACAAAAAUGCACAUGCUGUGAGCUCGAUGAGUAGGGCGGGACACGUGGUAUCCUGUCUGAAUAUGGGGGGACCAUCCUCCAAGGCUAAAUACUCCUGACUGACCGAUAGUGAACCAGUACCGUGAGGGAAAGGCGAAAAGAACCCCGGCGAGGGGAGUGAAAAAGAACCUGAAACCGUGUACGUACAAGCAGUGGGAGCACGCUUAGGCGUGUGACUGCGUACCUUUUGUAUAAUGGGUCAGCGACUUAUAUUCUGUAGCAAGGUUAACCGAAUAGGGGAGCCGAAGGGAAACCGAGUCUUAACUGGGCGUUAAGUUGCAGGGUAUAGACCCGAAACCCGGUGAUCUAGCCAUGGGCAGGUUGAAGGUUGGGUAACACUAACUGGAGGACCGAACCGACUAAUGUUGAAAAAUUAGCGGAUGACUUGUGGCUGGGGGUGAAAGGCCAAUCAAACCGGGAGAUAGCUGGUUCUCCCCGAAAGCUAUUUAGGUAGCGCCUCGUGAAUUCAUCUCCGGGGGUAGAGCACUGUUUCGGCAAGGGGGUCAUCCCGA
rnacentral:rRNA from 1 species